GUUCUUUUAACUCAGUGUCUUGUUUAAUUUGGACGUGUCAAUACAAAAUGAAAUCUUUGAAUUUGUUGGUUUUACUGUUCGUAGUAUUUUAUACUUUCAACAGGGAAGUGGAAGCUAACAUCAUGCCACUUUGGCGAAUUCAGUGCAGCUACUACCAGUCUAAGAUGAUUGACGAUAUGCUAAGUUAUGGUUUUGAUAAUGAAGAUGAAUUGAUUAAACGCUUUUGUACUGAACAUAGAAAAGGCACCCAGUAAAUAUUCUUUUAGAGAACACCUAAGGCGUUAAAUCUGACUUUGUAGAUACUUUUUUUUGUUACAUAGAAAAUGAAAAAUAAAAAGAUCACAAAUUGAGUCUUCGUCUUUCUUAUUGUUUUUAUAUAUACGGUAUCUUAUAUGUGUUUAUAUUUGUUACAUUAUUCGUACAUAUGUUUAUUUUUUUGUUAACUAAAAUUUCAUUAUUUAUUUUCUUUGGUAGAGAAUCCCUUGUGACAUUAAGCCCACCAAUGCACCAUUUUUGUAGAUAAAGCGUAAAUAAAUAAAAUACAUACCUAAUGCAGAAGGGAUUUGGUAAAUAAAAAUUAAGCAUGACUAUUGUA
rnacentral:lncRNA from 1 species